AUUAUCCUUCGGGGCAGGGUGGAAUUCCCUACCGGCGGUGAUGAGGCGCAAUGCUUCAAAGUCCGUGACCCGGUGGCGCAUGCCAGCGGUGGAUCCAGUGAGAUUCUGGAGCCGACAGUUAAAGUCUGGAUGGGAGAAGGAUCGA
rnacentral:ncRNA from 2 species